GAUGAACGCUGGCGGCGUGCUUAACACAUGCAAGUCGAGCGGGCAAUUUAUCUAGCACUGAUUACUUCAAAUGGAAAUCAUAAGUGUAAUCAUGAAUUUCUACCUUUAAUAAAGAAAAAGAAAUUCAUGUACGCAAAUAGUGAUAACACAUUUUAGUGAAGUGAUGAGUGCUGGAUAAAUUGCUAGCGGCGGACGGGUGCGUAACACGUGGGUAACCUGCCCCUAUCACUGGGAUAACACACUGAAAAGUGUGCUAAUACCAGAUAAUAUAAGCUUUUGGCAUCAUUAGCUUAUCAAAGAAUUUCGGAUAGGGAUGGGCCCGCGUCUGAUUAGCUAGUUGGUGAGGUAACGGCUCACCAAGGCAACGAUCAGUAGCCGACCUGAGAGGGUGAUCGGCCACACUGGAACUGAGACACGGUCCAGACUCCUACGGGAGGCAGCAGUGGGGAAUAUUGCACA
rnacentral:rRNA from 1 species